UAUACUAGUGACAUAACAAUAAAUGCAUCGAAUGUUAAGUCUAUUUUGUGUCUUAUCUGUGGUUAUAUAUCCAAAUAUGUUACGUAUUGCGCAUGCGAUGAGUGAUCGAUUGUCUUUGCGUUAAGAUGUUAUGUGAUAUCUGAUAUUUCGAAAAUGUUUCUGUCAAAAAAAUCUAAAAGUUUCGGUGUGCUAACCUUUCUUUUCUGUAAAUUUUAUGAUAUUAAUUAUUCAAUUCAAUAUAAAUUUUUAUUUCUAAUGUCAAAUAACGAAAUCAAAAAAAGAAUGGUGGAUUGCAUGUUAAAUAUACCAAUAAAGUGUUUUAUAAGUUUAGCCUGUUAAAAGUAUCAGACUCGUUUGCGAUGACGUAAAAUAUAAUCUAGAAUAUAACAGGAUGAAUAAAUCGAGAGUAGGGUCAGAAUAUAUUCCGUUAGUGGGAGACGACAUGUUGCAAACGCGAUACGUUUUACAUUUUGCUAAAUUAGCAUGGUUUACAGUAUCUUUACCUUUUUUCGCAUUUUUAUUUUGUAUCACUUGGUCUGUUGUAUAUAAUUUUGAGCAUUCGACUUCUACACAUUGUAAAGUUUAUAAUUUUUUACCAUCUGUAUCUGCUGCGAUUGGACAUUACAGGCCACAAAGAGAUGUUUGGAAAAUUGCAAUAGCUAUGCAAGCAGUGGUAAGAAUUUUAGUAUUAAUAAUGUAUCGCCGUUAUUAUAAAGAGCAUAUCUAUAAAUGGGCACAAAAUAUUUGUAAUGUUGCAACUGUUAUCUAUGCUAUUGAAAACAUAUCACUUAUAUCAUUAAGUUUUUGGACAUCAAAUGAGAAUUAUGUUUUUCAUAAAGUAUCUUUUAUAACAUUUUUAAUAACAUCUGUCAUUCAUAUGCAGAUAGCAUAUUAUAUAAUGAGAAACUGUCGUAAUAUUACUAAAGAAUCUUCUGAAGCUAUCUCUCUAAAAUGGAAGAGAAGAUCUAUGAUGUUGAAUUUAUUGUGUAUAUUAUUUGCAGGCUACUUUUUUUACAGUAAAAAUAAAACUUGAUAUAAUACAAACAUUUUUUUGCAGUUUACUCUAUGUUUGCAUUAAGCGAAUAUGGAGUUGUUCUUUCAAAUAUAGGAUUUCAUUCAACAACAGCUUGGGAUUUUGCAAAUUCUUCUCUUAUGAUAUCAGGAAAAGGAUUUAGAAUAAUUUAAUAUUGUACAAAAAUUAUUAUUUUUAAACAUCUCUAUGAAAGAAAUUAUUUUGACUAAAAAUAUUCCCAAAGCAAUCGUCAUCGUUUGUGUGAAAUACAGAAGUUACAUGCAUAUUUGUAAAAAGAAAAAAUAGAAGAAAAAUUAA